rnacentral:rRNA from 1 species
CCUACGGGAGGCAGCAGUAGGGAAUCUUGCGCAAUGGGCGAAAGCCUGACGCAGCCAUGCCGCGUGAAUGAUGAAGGUCUUAGGAUUGUAAAAUUCUUUCACCGGGGACGAUAAUGACGGUACCCGGAGAAGAAGCCCCGGCUAACUUCGUGCCAGCAGCCGCGGUAAUACGAAGGGGGCUAGCGUUGCUCGGAAUUACUGGGCGUAAAGGGAGCGUAGGCGGAUAGUUUAGUCAGAGGUGAAAGCCCAGGGCUCAACCUUGGAACUGCCUUUGAUACUGGCUAUCUUGAGUAUGGGAGAGGUGAGUGGAACUCCGAGUGUAGAGGUGAAAUUCGUAGAUAUUCGGAAGAACACCAGUGGCGAAGGCGACUCACUGGCCCAUUACUGACGCUGAGGCUCGAAAGCGUGGGGAGCAAACAGGAUUAGAUACCCUGGUAGUCCACGCCGUAAACGAUGAGUGCUAGUUGUCGGGCAUGCAUGCAUGUCGGUGGACGCAGCUAACGCAUUAAGUCACUCCGCCGUCGGGGUAGGUACGGGUCGGCGAAGAAGUUAAAACGUUUAAAAUUAGUUAAGUUAGUUACGGGCGUGAGACGUUGCCGAACGGGACGACCGACCGAGGGGAGGUUAGG